rnacentral:lncRNA from 1 species
UAACCAUGACAUAAAAAGCCCUAUUCACAGCUUAAUGUUCAUACCGAAUUUUAUUCCAAUAAUAAAUCAAAUAUUUAUGGAUAAUUCAUAUCCUAUUUUCCAUUAUAAUUCAAUUCAAUCUCAUUUUUUAUUUCUAUUUCAAUCAUAAACCAAACACGCCCUUCACAGAUUUAACAUAAAAUCAUAUAACAUCUAACCAAGAAACCAUAAUAACUAUUGUACCUCACUAAUGUAGACUUUCAAAAUAGAAACACCAUUAUCUAAGUGGAUGCAGAAUGAAAAAAAUUUAUUCUAGUGGCCUAAAUGUUUUCGCACUAUAAUAUCUGAAACAAGGACUUUUCUGUAGAGUUCUGUGACAGUCCCUCAUAU